GCAAGAUAGUUUGAUCAUGGCUCAGAUUGAACGCUGGCGGCAGGCCUAACACAUGCAAGUCGAGCGGCAGCGGGAAGAAGCUUGCUUCUUUGCCGGCGAGCGGCGGACGGGUGAGUAAUGUCUGGGGAUCUGCCCGAUGGAGGGGGAUAACUACUGGAAACGGUAGCUAAUACCGCAUAACGUCGCAAGACCAAAGUGGGGGACCUUCGGGCCUCACACCAUCGGAUGAACCCAGAUGGGAUUAGCUAGUAGGUGGGGUAAUGGCUCACCUAGGCGACGAUCCCUAGCUGGUCUGAGAGGAUGACCAGCCACACUGGAACUGAGACACGGUCCAGACUCCUACGGGAGGCAGCAGUGGGGAAUAUUGCACAAUGGGGGAAACCCUGAUGCAGCCAUGCCGCGUGUGUGAAGAAGGCCUUCGGGUUGUAAAGCACUUUCAGCGGGGAGGAAGGCGAUGGCGUUAAUAGCGCCAUCGAUUGACGUUACCCGCAGAAGAGGCACCGGCUAACUCCGUGCCAGCAGCCGCGGUAAUACGGAGGGUGCGAGCGUUAAUCGGAAUUACUGGGCGUAAAGCGUACGCAGGCGGUCUGUUAAGUCAGAUGUGAAAUCCCCGGGCUCAACCUGGGAACUGCAUUUGAAACUGGCAGGCUAGAGUCUCGUAGAGGGGGGUAGAAUUCCAGGUGUAGCGGUGAAAUGCGUAGAGAUCUGGAGGAAUACCGGUGGCGAAGGCGGCCCCCUGGACGAAGACUGACGCUCAGGUACGAAAGCGUGGGGAGCAAACAGGAUUAGAUACCCUGGUAGUCCACGCUGUAAACGAUGUCGAUUUGAAGGUUGUGGCCUUGAGCCGUGGCUUUCGGAGCUAACGCGUUAAAUCGACCGCCUGGGGAGUACGGCCGCAAGGUUAAAACUCAAAUGAAUUGACGGGGGCCCGCACAAGCGGUGGAUGAUGUGGAUUAA
rnacentral:rRNA from 1 species